AGUUCCGGAACCGGGUACCCAGGACCUUCUUUCCGGGAAUUGCCUGACCGGAAUUGGCCGAACCGGGUUGAAAUUAAGGUUAAUAAGUUUAAACCUUUGCCCCCCUUUGGAAGAGGAAUAACCCACCUUGGAAACCGGUUGAAUUUAAUUACCCUGCCAUAAACCUUCCUAAAUUAACCCAAGAAAGAUUGAAUUAGAGAAAAGGAAGUUAAAAUCCUUGCCCAAAGGGAUUAAGGACCUAUAUGGGUAACCCAAUAAUUUGGUAAGGGUUAAAAGGCCCUACCAAGGACAAUGGACGCCCUACCUGGUCCUGAGAAGGAUGAUCAGCCCACACUGGAACCUGAGACACGGUCCAGACUCCUACGGGAGCACAAUGGGGAAUAUUGCACAAUGGGGGAAACCCUGAUGCAGCAACCCGCGUGGAGGAAGAAACCCUUAGGGGCGUAAACUCCUUUUAUCAAGGAAGAAGAUGACGGUACUUGAUGAAUAAGCACCGGCUAACUCCGUGCCAGCAGCCGCGGUAAUACGGAGGGUGCAAGCGUUACUCGGAAUCACUGGGCGUAAAGCGCAUGUAGGCGGUUAAUUAAGUUAGAAGUGAAAGCCCACAGCUUAACUGUGGAACAGCUUCUAAAACUGAUUAACUAGAGUCUGGGAGAGGAAGAUGGAAUUAGUAGUGUAGGGGUAAAAUCCGUAGAGAUUACUAGGAAUACCGAAAGCGAAGGCGAUCUUCUGGAACAGUACUGACGCUGAGAUGCGAAAGCGUGGGGAGCAAACAGGAUUAGAUACCCUGGUAGUCCACGCCCUAAACGAUGAAUGUAAGUCGUAGGAGUGCUAGGCCACUUCAGUGAUGCAGCUAACGCAUUAAACAUUCCGCCUGGGGAGUACGGCCGCAAGGGUUAAAACUCCAAAGGAAUAGACGGGGACCCGAACAAGUGGUGAAGCAUGUGGUUCAAUUCGAAGAUACCGCGAAGAACCUUACCUGGCCUUGACCCUAUACCAGAACUACCAGAGAUCGGUGGGGUGCAUUCGGAAACUGGUAUACAAGGUGCUGCACGGGCUGUCCGUCACAGCAUCGUGUCGUGAGAUGUGGGGUUAA
rnacentral:rRNA from 1 species